AUUUAGCCCCGAUAGUAGCGGCAUCCUUUUAUCCCGAUUUUGCUUUGGGAUAAAAGAUAUAGCGAAUAGCGGGAAAUAGC
rnacentral:sRNA from 1 species